CUCUAGUGCAGAUGUAACCUCCAGUAUGAAUAGGAGAAUUCAUUAGGCAUCAAGGUCUUUAAACUCAUCAGGGUUAAACAGCAAUUUACCUCACACCAGAACUGUUAGCAAGUGAUUUAGUGACAAGGAAUUGACGAGAGGCUCGUUGACAUGAGUGACGAUGGGAGGCCAUCAUGAGGCAAGAGCCAUGUUCCUCCAGACACCUUCCAAACGGACCAAGUUGUACUUUCAGUGGCCAGACCCUCAAACGUACUGAGAUGCCUAAAUCACUCUGUGUCAUGCUGACGGUCAUGUUCAGAAAGCUUCAACCGGUUGUUUUCCAAUCCUCGCUAAUAUUUUGGGUCAACAGUCGUGUCUGUCAAACCCUUCCUAUAGCACUUGCAAACCUGGAAUACUUUUUACACUGUUAAUGAGGAUGGGAGAGGACUUUUCCUGUCCUGGGAACAGGCUUAGCAUAAUAGUUUUCUUGUGUCCGUGUAAGAUCUGUUCUGCCGAUGGGGUGGAAAGAAAAAGGCCCCUGCAAAAACAGUGCUUGGAGUUUGCUGCUUUCUGUACAUGCAUCCCAGUGGUGAAUGACUUCCCUCCAAAUGAAAGCUCGUGGUGAAAGAAGACAGCAACAAAAGCAGCAAGGUAAUCUAGAGGCCGUGAGGGAAACAUUCCUUCUUCCGGGAGGCCUAUCUAAAUCCCCACUGAAACACGGCGUAUCAUGUUUUAAUCCCCAGAGGUUUCCUGCACCAUGUUAUUUGCUCGGGCUAUUCGUUUCCCACCCACAAGAAGACAGAACGCCAACGCUGGCCGUUGCUCUUGUGUAGCUGUGUGACUUUUCCCAAGAGUUAGGAGAUUCUGCCUACGACCAACUUCCCGCUCGGUGAACACCUCCUUAUCUGAAGGCCAGGCGCUUGCAGAGGCGGGGAGCGAGGCUGCGAAGCUCAGCGCUGCCCCGAGUGUGUGCUCCUGCGCUCUACUGCCUCCGAGGGAUUAUUUAAUGGCUUGUUUCCCAAGGGGAUUAAGCUGAACCUGAUAAAGGCGCUAUCAGCAUCCACCCGUGCAGACAUGGAUAAGUGUAUAUUCCACCAGAGCUGCCCUCCGUUUCUUUUCCAAGUUAGAUGAGCUCCAGAGCAGGGAUUUCUGAAAGCAUCCAAGAGGCUUAGCAACACCUAAGCUGUCUGAUUUUUUAGCAGGAUUCGUGGUCCUCUAAAGACCAUCUCUAAAGAUAGCCCAAGAUGACAGAGUGUUUGCAAAUAUGAAUUCCUGUUCUGGACAGCCGUUUGGGUCGGCUGCAUUUGUUCCCCAUUUCUUGCCCAUGAAGGUGUUUCUGGUUUAUGAUGUCUGUGGGAAUUCACGGCAGAACCUGUGCCUUCCCACCAGCACCCAUGCUCUCGUGGGACGUGUUCCUGGUUCUCUGGUGGCUGGCCAAGAAUCAGCACCUAGUAAUGAGCAGCCAAAGCGAGCAGCACAUCAACAUCCCACCAUCCCACAAGCUCUAACAGAUAUCUGACAAGCACUUGUGAAUAAAAUAGGAUUUUUUUUUUUUUUCUAGGGUUGACAAAAAAAAAAAGGGAACAGAAAUAAAAUGCUCUGAAUGCUGGUGUUUAUCUGCUUGCAGGUUUUCAUCUAAUAACUGAACUGUAUAAAUUUAGUUGAUAUUUUGAAAAAUCGUUUUUGUAAUUGAGAUGGGGAAAAUUAUGUAUUUUUAAAGCAAUUCUUUUUUUCUACAAUUGCUUGUUCUCUCUAAGUGUAGUUACACAAAAUUACAUUUUGAGAAACAAUUGAUACAAAGGUCAGAAUUCCUGUUUUUCUUUAAAAAAAAUCCACCAACUCUGUUCUGCUAAGUAAAACUCCCUAUAAUAUGAACUACAUGCAUUUAGUUUUAUUUUCCCUCUAAAGAAAAAGAGAACCUUGAUUUCCUAUUACAGCUCCAUCCUAAUAAUGCAGUUACAAUAUAUUUUCAGUUGCACAGAAUUUCAACCAAUCCAUAUAAAUGGAAAUUAAGCUUCUUAGGUUUGUUCUUCACAGGCAUCAUUUUGGAAAACUGGAUGCCAACUGCAGUGCAUUUUGCUGUGCUUCGUCCCGCAGGAGUAAGUGGCCCUGACUUAGGACGUAUCCACAGUUUUUCUGUAUAGCACCUGAUGUAGUGUGGCUACCGUCUUCGGGAUAUUUGUCCAUCUUUGGGGUAUCUAAUUGUAAUUUCCACCUUGCUCACAACUUCCAUCUUGGUUGCAGGUGGGCGUUAAAAAGCAGGAUUGGAUGUAGGCCACAUGAGCUUGCAGGUCACACAAAGGCAGCAGAUUUUGAGACGUUUGCGUGCCCAUAAAUGAGAUGGAAAAAUGUCUAAAGUAGAUGGUUUGACAGCUGUGGAGCAGUGUAGCAGUGUAGCAUCCCGAAUACCUGGAGCCAGCUGUGCUGGCUGUGUGUGGCAGGAUUGGCACUAUGGAAAAGCAGAGCGAGCUUUGUGCUUUCCUCCUGGGGCUCUACAUCUGCCAUACCUCUCCUUCAGUGUUUGGUCUCCGACGAAACCUGGUUUAAUAUAGCAGAGCUUGAUUGUGCUUAUUUUUAUGAAACAAAAAUGCUGUCAUAAAUGGGGUUUGAUGGUUGCUGGUUGCAGCCACAGUCGAGCAGUUGCUCAGCAAUUGGAUUUGCUGCCUCUUGGCGCUUUUUAUAUAACACCGCUGAGGCUCAGCGCUCGCAUGGGUUACGCCAGGUCAGCUUUUCAUUCCUUUCUUUUUUCUUUCUUUCUCUCUCCCUCUCUCAAUUUUUUUAAUCAAAAAGAUUUUUAUUGGUGCUCUGGAAAAACAAACACAACACACCGCUGUGAGUUUUGUAAGGG